GACUCUAAGCGGUGGAUCACUUGGUUCUCGGUUCGAUGAAGAACGCAGCCAGCUGCGAGACUUGGUGUGAAUUGCAGGACACACUGAGCACUGAUUCUUUGAACGCAUAUUGCGGCCAUGGGUCUUCCCUUGGCUUCGUCUGUCUGAGGGUCG
rnacentral:rRNA from 1 species